CAGGCACCCAACAGAGCCAGGUAAUUGUCAAAUCAUUUCUUAACUGUUUUACAAUUACCUUGGGAUGAUGCCAGGGAACUCCUGCCACAAUAACCAGCACAGCUUGCUGUACUGCAUCUUACUGGAGUAAUUUAGGGGCUAUUUGUGCUGCCCCUGUAGCCUUGCUGCUGUAAACAUUGCCUUUUCUGAGAAACGGCACUGUUUAUUUUUCCACGCGCUUUUUUUUUUUUUUUUUAUGUUGUCAAGCCCAUUAGUGGCUGUCCGGCAAACAGCCACUGCGAACUUUGAACUAACAUAGAUUCAGUUAUUCAUGUUUGGUGACAGCAUACAAAGUAUGCUGAUGUCGGACACUGUAUCUAUCCAGUGCUUCACACAGAGAAACACUGGAUUGGUGAAUUGCGGCAAUUGCUUCGCUUUUGCUGUGUAUCCUUACUGCUUCUCUAUGAGAAGCAUGUGAUUGGACACAGAUCAUCAAUUGAUGAUUUCGCCCACCGAAGGAUUAUCUGGCUGCAAAGAGGAGUGUGUUGCAGCACUGGAUAACAGGUAUGUUUAGUGCUAAAUUGUGUUGUUUUUUUUGUUUGUUUUUUUUUUUAUUUUUUUGUUAGUGACAGCCCAGUACGGU